UACGAGGGGGGCAAGCGUUGUUCGGAUUUAUUGGGCGUAAAGGGUGCGUAGGCGGUUUGGCAAGUCUUGUGUGAAAUCUUUGGGCUCAACCCAAAGCCUGCACAAGAAACUGCCGGGCUUGAGUAUGGGAGAGGUGAGUGGAAUUUCCGGUGUAGCGGUGAAAUGCGUAGAUAUCGGAAGAACACCAAUGGCGAAAGCAGCUCUCUGGGACGGUACUGACGCUGAGACGCGAAAGCGUGGGGAGCGAACAGG
rnacentral:rRNA from 1 species